rnacentral:rRNA from 1 species
CACGUAGGCACCAAGCGUUGUCCGGAUUUAUUGGGCGUAAAGAGCUCGUAGGCGGCUUGUCGCGUCGACUGUGAAAACCCGUGGCUCAACCAUGUGGUCUGCAGUCGAUACGGGCAGGCUAGAAUUCGGUAGGGGAGACUGGAAUUCCUGGUGUAGCGGUGAAAUGCGCAGAUAUCAGGAGGAACACCGGUGGCGAAGGCGGGUCUCUGGGCCGAUAUUGACGCUGAGGAGCGAAAGCGUGGGGAGCGAACAGG